CCUACGGGAGGCAGCAGUGGGGAAUAUUGCACAAUGGGGGAAACCCUGAUGCAGCGACGCCGCGUGAGUGAAGAAGUAUUUCGGUAUGUAAAGCUCUAUCAGCAGGGAAGAAAAUGACGGUACCUGAUUAAGAAGCCCCGGCUAACUACGUGCCAGCAGCCGCGGUAAUACGUAGGGGGCAAGCGUUAUCCGGAUUUACUGGGUGUAAAGGGAGCGUAGACGGCAGCACAAGUCUGGAGUGAAAUGCCGGGGCUUAACCCCGGGCCUGCUUUGGAAACUGUGCAGCUUGAGUGCAGGAGAGGUAAGUGGAAUUCCUAGUGUAGCGGUGAAAUGCGUAGAUAUUAGGAGGAACACCAGUGGCGAAGGCGGCUUACUGGACUGUAACUGACGUUGAGGCUCGAAAGCGUGGGGAGCAAACAGGAUUAGAUACCCCUGUAGUC
rnacentral:rRNA from 1 species